rnacentral:rRNA from 1 species
CAAUAGCGUAUAUUAAAGUUGUUGCGGUUAAAAAGCUCGUAGUUGGAUUUCUGUCCAGUGUGACCGGUCCGCCCUUGGGUUGGUAUCAGGUUCGCUCAGGGCAUUCUCCUGGGAAGCACGGCUGCGCCUCGUUGUGUGGCCUGUAACCUAGGUCGUUUACUUUGAGGAAAUUAGAGUGUUUCACGCAGGCGAUUGCCUUGAAUACAUUAGCAUGGAAUAAUACGAUAGGACUUCGGUUCUGUCUUGUUGGUUUUUGGAGCUGAGGUAAUGAUUAAUAGGGAUAGUCGGGGGCAUUCGUACUUAACUGUCAGAGGUGAAAUUCUUGGAUUUGUUAAAGACGAACUAAUGCGAAAGCAUUUGCCAAGGAUGUUUUCAUUGA